UAGAGUUUGAUCAUGGCUCAGAUUGAACGCUGGCGGCAGGCCUAACACAUGCAAGUCGAGCGGUAGAGAGAAGCUUGCUUCUCUUGAGAGCGGCGGACGGGUGAGUAAUGCCUAGGAAUCUGCCUGGUAGUGGGGGAUAACGUUCGGAAACGGACGCUAAUACCGCAUACGUCCUACGGGAGAAAGCAGGGGACCUUCGGGCCUUGCGCUAUCAGAUGAGCCUAGGUCGGAUUAGCUAGUUGGUGGGGUAAUGGCUCACCAAGGCGACGAUCCGUAACUGGUCUGAGAGGAUGAUCAGUCACACUGGAACUGAGACACGGUCCAGACUCCUACGGGAGGCAGCAGUGGGGAAUAUUGGACAAUGGGCGAAAGCCUGAUCCAGCCAUGCCGCGUGUGUGAAGAAGGUCUUCGGAUUGUAAAGCACUUUAAGUUGGGGGGAAGGGUUGUAGAUUAAUACUCUGCAAUUUUGACGUUACCGACAGAAUAAGCACCGGCUAACUCUGUGCCAGCAGCCGCGGUAAUACAGAGGGUGCAAGCGUUAAUCGGAAUUACUGGGCGUAAAGCGCGCGUAGGUGGUUUGUUAAGUUGGAUGUGAAAUCCCCGGGCUCAACCUGGGAACUGCAUUCAAAACUGACUGACUAGAGUAUGGUAGAGGGUGGUGGAAUUUCCUGUGUAGCGGUGAAAUGCGUAGAUAUAGGAAGGAACACCAGUGGCGAAGGCGACCACCUGGACUGAUACUGACACUGAGGUGCGAAAGCGUGGGGAGCAAACAGGAUUAGAUACCCUGGUAGUCC
rnacentral:rRNA from 1 species